UUGACAACACAAACAGGAGCGUUGCAGUUUUGGCCCACCCUACCUUCAGGCACCACUACCUACCUGUUCAAAGGCACCUACCACCAUACCCUGUUCAAAGGCACCUACUACCCUGUUCAAGGCACUACUACCAUACCCUGUUCAAAGGCACCUACUACCAACCCUGUUCAAGGUACCUCUACUACCCUGUUCAAAGGCACCUAUACCCUUUCAAAAGGCACCUACUACCAUACCUGUUCAAAAGGCACCUACUACCAACCUGUUAAGGCACUACACCUACCCUGUUCAAAGGCACCUACUACCCUGUUCAAAGGGCACCUACUACCCUGUUCAAAGGCACCUACUACCAUACCCUGUUGAACGGCCCUACUACCAUACCUGUUCAAAGGCCCCUACUACCAUUACCCUGUUCAAAGGUAUCAUCCGUCAGCACCACUACCAUAACCCUGUUCAAGGCAACUACUACCCUGUUCAAAGGCACUACUACCCUGUUCAAAGGCACCUACUACCAUACCCUGUUCAAAGGCACCUACUACCCAUACCUGUUCAAAGGCACUAUACCUACCUGUUCAAAGGCACCUACAUACCCUGUUCAAAGGCACCUACUACCUACCCUGUUCAAAGGCACUACUACCAUACCCUGUUCAAAGGCACCUCCUACUACCAUACCCUGUUCAAAGGCACCUACUACCAUACCCUGUUCAAAGGCACCUACUACCAUACCCCAUGUUCAAGGCAACUACUACCCUGUUCAAAGGCACCUACUACCCUGUUCAAGGCACCUACUCACCAUACCCUGUUCAAAGGCACCUACUACCAUACCUGUUCAAAGGCACAUACUACCUGUUCAAAGGCACCUACAUACCCUGUUCAAAGGCACCUACUACCUACCCUGUUCAAAGGCACCUACUACAUACCCUGUUCAAAGGCACCUACUACCAUACC
rnacentral:lncRNA from 1 species